CUGGAGGUGACCCACUUUGGGCUGUGAUG
rnacentral:piRNA from 1 species